GCUUAAAAGUCAGCCGCCUUAAACACCACAAACCCGCCCAACAAAAACCCCUAAACCAUUCGUCAUGCUAAGUAUAGGAGAUAGAACUGCACCCCGCGCGCAAUAGCCAACAGUACCACAUGGGAACACUGAAAGACAAUUAACCCUUAAAGCACGAAAAAGCAGNGCUAAACCCCCGUACCUCUUGCAUCAUGGUCUAACAAGCCCUGCCCAGAUAAAGUGCACUAAAACCUGCCCCCCCGAACCCAGACGAGCUACCCCCGGCCAAUCAACAAUGGAUUUACCCCAUCUCUGUGGCAAAAGAGUGGAACCAGCCCCGGGUAGUGGUGAAACGCCUACCGAGCCUGGUGAUAGCUGGUUGCUCAUUAAACGAAUAUAAGUUCGACUCUAGUUUUUUUCCCCCCCGCCACCACUACGCCCUUGUAACCAACUAGAAGCUACACAAUUAGGGACCAGCCUAACUGUGCCCGGACACAGCCCAACUAGCUGGGUCAGCCAAAUAAACACCGCCCCGUAGGCCUCCGAGCAGCCACCCCUAAAAAUAGCGUCAAAGCAAGACACACAAAAAUUUCUUAUGAUUUCCCCAUUCAAGCCCGCCCAUAAAACUGAGCCCCUCUGGCCAACCCCAGAGGAGAUAAUGUUAGAACUAGUAAUAAGAGCCCCCUCUCUCCCCGCACCGCCUUACGCCGGCACGGAUCUCCCACCGGCAGUUACCAACUACACCCCCCCCACAAAAAUAACAAACUGUCACCCCAACACAGGCGUGCCCAAAAGAGCCGGCAAACCACCAUAAAAGGAACUCGGCUAAAAUGCCCCACCUGUUUACCAAAAACAUGGCCUUUAGCAUACCAAGUAUUAAAGGUCCCGCCUGCCCAGUGAACCACUUUUAAACGGCCGCGGUAUUCUAACCGUGCAAAGGUAGCGUAAUCACUUGCCCCUUAAAUAGGGGCUUGUAUGAACGGCUAAAUGAGGGCCUAACUGUCUCCUAUGGCAAGCCAAUGAAACUGCUCUCUCAGUACAAAAGCUGAGAUACACCCACAAGACGAGAAGACCCUGUGGAGCUUUUAAACACCACACUAAACCACCCUGCCCAAUCAUAGUGCUAAACUUUAAGUUGGGGCGACUGCGGAGUAAAACACAACCUCCAUGUAACAGGACAACCAUCCAUUCCAGGCCUACAAGCCAAAAUUAUAACCAACCACUUGACCCAGCAUCGCUGACCACCGGCCCAAGUUACCCCAGGGAUAACAGCGCCAUCCUCCUCAAGAGUCCCUAUCGCCAGGAGGGUUUACGACCUCGAUGUUGG
rnacentral:rRNA from 1 species